ensembl:miRNA
GGUUUCUCUGUGUAUCUUUGGAGCCUAUCCUGGCACUCGCUCUGUAGACCAGGCUGGCCUUGAACUCAGAGAUUCGCCUGCCUCUGCCUCCCGAGUGCUGGGACUAAAGGCAUGCACCACCAAUGCCCG